CUUGACGACCAUAGAGCGUUGGAACCACCUGAUCCCAUCCCGAACUCAGAAGUGAAACGAUGCAUCGCCGAUGGUAGUGUGGGGUUUCCCCAUGUGAGAGUAGGUCAUCGUCAAGAUUAAAUUCCGAAACCCCAACUGCA
rnacentral:rRNA from 1 species